rnacentral:rRNA from 1 species
AAUAUUGCACAAUGGGGGAAACCCUGAUGCAGCCAUGUCCGCGUGUGUGAAGAAGGCCUUCGGGUUGUUAAAGCACUUUCAGCAGUGAGGAAGGUCGGAGUCGUUAAUAGCGGCCUCGUUUCGACGUUAGCUGCAGAAGAAGCACCGGCUAACUCCGUGCCAGCAGCCGCGGUAAUACGGAGGGUGCGAGCGUUAAUCGGAAUUACUGGGCGUAAAGCGCAUGCAGGUGGUUUGUUAAGUCAGAUGUGAAAGCCCCGGGGCUCAACCUCGGAAUUGCAUUUUGAAACUGGCAGACUAGAGUACUGUAGAGGGGGUAGAAUUUCAGGUGUAGCGGUGAAAUGCGUAGAGAUCUGAAGGAAUACCGGUGGCGAAGGCGGCCCCCCUGGACAGAUACUGACACUCAGACUGCGAAAGCGUGGGGAGCAAACAGGAUUAGAUACCCUGGUAG